AUACCAAGUGUUUGGGGACGUACGAUAAAUUUGGAAUGAUACAGAAAAUAUUAGGAUGGCCCCUAUGCGAGAAUAACACAAACAAAUUAAGAAAUUGGGUCGUGACAUAUUU
rnacentral:snRNA from 1 species